rnacentral:lncRNA from 1 species
UCUUUAAUAGUACAGAUUUCCAAUACACCAUCAGAAACAGAAGUAAUUAGGACUGGGAGACAUCGGAGACAGAUGGGGGGCACAUAAGGACCAGUAGGGAAAAGGAAGAACCACCAUAUUAGUAGAAGUGAAUUCUGACAUUCCCAGACUGCCCUCAGACACAUAGCAGACCCUGGUAACCACAGGAGCCCUCUGAUUCAACUGAAGGGAGGCACAGAGCUGCCUACAAUGAAAUAACUAAUCAGGUCUUUCCUUCCCACAUCCAUUCAGUAGUACGGUGUGUUGGCACAAUGCACAGUCCUUGUUAACCACUCCAGGAAAAGAAAGAGCCACUCACCCUGAUUAGCCGUCAGAACUAAUUUUCAGCCAUGUUAUUAUAUGGUAAAGAGGAAAAAGGAAAUCCAAGGAAACUGUGCUU